GUGGGGAAUCUUCCGCAAUGGACGAAAGUCUGACGGAGCGACGCCGCGUGAGUGAAGAAGGCCUUCGGGUCGUAAAGCUCUGUCAUCAGGGACGAACGGCCGGUGGAGUGGAAAGCCACCGGAUUGACGGUACCUGAGAAGGAAGCCACGGCUAACUACGUGCCAGCAGCCGCGGUAAUACGUAGGGGGCAAGCGUUGUCCGGAAUUAUUGGGCGUAAAGCGCGCGCAGGUGGGAUCUUAAGUCCGUUUUGAAAGUUCGGAGCUCAACUCCGUGAUGGGAUGGAAACUGGGAUUCUUGAGUACCGGAGAGGAAAGCGGAAUUCCCCGUGUAGCGGUGAAAUGCGUAGAUAUGGGGAGGAACACCAGUGGCGAAGGCGGCUUUCUGGACGGUGUCUGACACUGAGGCGCGAAAGCUAGGGGAGCGAACGGGAUUAGAUACCCCAGUAGUCC
rnacentral:rRNA from 1 species